GAUGAACGCUGGCGGCGUGCCUAAUACAUGCAAGUCGAGCGAACAGAUAAGGAGCUUGCUCCUUUGACGUUAGCGGCGGACGGGUGAGUAACACGUGGGUAACCUACCUAUAAGACUGGAAUAACUCCGGGAAACCGGGGCUAAUGCCGGAUAACAUUUAGAACCGCAUGGUUCUAAAGUGAAAGAUGGUUUUGCUAUCACUUAUAGAUGGACCCGCGCCGUAUUAGCUAGUUGGUAAGGUAACGGCUUACCAAGGCAACGAUACGUAGCCGACCUGAGAGGGUGAUCGGCCACACUGGAACUGAGACACGGUCCAGACUCCUACGGGAGGCAGCAGUAGGGAAUCUUCCGCAAUGGGCGAAAGCCUGACGGAGCAACGCCGCGUGAGUGAUGAAGGUCUUCGGAUUGUAAAACUCUGUUAUUAGGGAAGAACAAAUGUGUAAGUAACUGUGCGCGUCUUGACGGUACCUAAUCAGAAAGCCACGGCUAACUACGUG
rnacentral:rRNA from 1 species